rnacentral:rRNA from 1 species
AUUGAACGCUGGCGGCAUGCCUUACACAUGCAAGUCGAACGGCAGCGGGGGAGAAGCUUGCUUUUCCUGCCGGCGAGUGGCGAACGGGUGAGUAAUACAUCGGAACGUGCCCUGUAGUGGGGGAUAACUAGUCGAAAGAUUAGCUAAUACCGCAUACGACCUGAGGGUGAAAGUGGGGGACCGCAAGGCCUCAUGCUAUAGGAGCGGCCGAUGUCUGAUUAGCUAGUUGGUGGGGUAAAGGCCUACCAAGGCGACGAUCAGUAGCUGGUCUGAGAGGACGAUCAGCCACACUGGGACUGAGACACGGCCCAGACUCCUACGGGAGGCAGCAGUGGGGAAUUUUGGACAAUGGGCGAAAGCCUGAUCCAGCAAUGCCGCGUGUGUGAAGAAGGCCUUCGGGUUGUAAAGCACUUUUGUCCGGAAAGAAAUGGCUCUGGUUAAUACCUGGGGUCGAUGAUGGUACCGGAAGAAUAAGGACCGGCUAACUACGUGCCAGCCGCCGCAGUAA